rnacentral:misc_RNA from 1 species
AAUAAAUAUUACUGUAAAAAUUACAGUAUAAUAUUUUACGGUGAAAAAAAAAAGUAUUUUGCAGCAAAAUGGAUUUUUCGGAGAAUGCACAAAGUGCCGAUACUUUUUUGCUGUAGAAUCCAUUUUUAUCGGAACUGAUGACAGAGUAAGAAAUCUGAUAUACCUUAAUUUUUGCAGUAAUUAUUACUGUCAAAUCACUGCAUCACUCUAAUUAAAUAUACAUUACAUUAAAACUACAACAUAAUAUUUUGCUGUAAAAAUGAAUUUUAUGCAUGCUUCACUCAUACUUUACAUCGUAAUUUAAUCCUGAGUUUUUUUUAAAUGUAGAAAAAAAUUGCUUCUCUAAGGCAAAAAAAUAAUAAUCUAAAACUCUUUUAUUAUUAGUAAAAUAUUUUAUUCAGCUUUUGAAUAUUAAAGAGAAAAACAAGCAUUAACAAGUGAAAAUAAUUAAAAAUUUUAACUACCUAUACAAUAUUUGAUUGAAUUUUGACUCUCUUUUUACAGUUAAUGUAAUACCGGUAAAAGAAACGUUUGUCCCGGGGCGUUGUUUAAUAGACGGUAACCACUUGCAGGGCUCAGAAUUGAUUGCUAGAAUUCUAAAUGGCAACAUACAUCUACUUUUCUCUUUCAAAAGUGUUUUCCGAUUUUUCUCGUACCCCCCUUUGCACGUGUUGUGAUAUUAUGACUAGGCACGCAAUGUAAUUUCUGCCUUAUUAAAUACAUUAUUGAAAUUGAGUAUAAAAUGCUAUACUAAAAUAUUUAUGGAUAAACAGAAUUUAAUUUUUAUGCGCAUGCUGCUCUGAUUACUUUUUAUUACCGGUUUUUAUUGCUUUUUCAUUGAUAAAAUUUGUUCAUUUUUUUUUCUUGUCGAGACAUUUUUGAUAAUGGUCUCUUUCUCUAUUGGUUGCAUCAGACAAAGAAUUUCUGAGACAUUUUCUGCGACGAAUCGGAAGAAGUAUUGGCAAGUAAACCUUUAUUGCUUUGAAGAUCACCUCAAUGAUGAUGAAAAUGUGAAAGUGAUGGUAAUAAAGGGAAUAUUCAAGGGCACUUUGAAGACAGUUUUGCUGCCAAUGGAAAUUUCCCUGGAGUAGAACCUAAAAGGCAAAGGACAGCCUAUACUCGACACCAG